CCACAGCUUUAUGUACGUUUGUAGAGAGGAGCUCCUAAAUGUUAUAUGGACGUGCAACUCAUUAAAAUCGAACCAAAACAAGAAGAAGAAAUUCAUUCCGAUCUUCAAGAUAACCUCUUAGUAAGCAACGAAGCUUUGGUUACAAUAAAGGAGGAAAUUACCAUUACUGCACAGUGCUCCAAAUUGCUCAAUAAUGAAAAAGUACAACAACAAACUGAAUGUGACUUUGGUCAACACAUAGCAAAUGAAGCCUUUAACUGGGCUCAUUGUGAUUAUGGAACAAAGAAUAAAAAGUUGCUUCAACGGCACAAAUGUAAUGUGCUACAAUGUGGUCACUGUGUUUACAAGACAAAUUUUGAAUCCUACUUAAAACGGCACCUUUUGAAACAUAAGGAGUUGAAAUGUACUAAUUGUGACUACAAGACACAUUACAAAAGCAGCUUUAAACGACACCUUUUAAAACAUACGGAUUCUAAAGAUUUCAAAUGUGUUCAUUGUGAGUAUGGAACAAAUAGUAAACAAUCUCUGAAAGGGCACAUUUUAACCCACAAACUUUCUAGUAAUGUAAAUGUGUUAAAAUGUACUCAUUGUAAUCAUGAGACAACUAACAAAAGCAACUUUAAACGACACCUUUUAACACAUAGUGAUUCUAAAGAUUUUAAAUGUGUUCAUUGUAAUUACAAGACAAAUAACAAAUACUACUUUAAACAACACCUAUUAAAACAUAACAAUUCUAAAGUUU